rnacentral:rRNA from 1 species
GUGCCAGCCGCCACGGUAAUACGUAGGGGGCGAGCGUUGUCCGGAAUUACUGGGCGUAAAGGGUGCGUAGGCGGCUGAUUAAGUCAGAUGUGAAAUACCAGGGCUCAACCCUGGGGGUGCAUUUGAAACUGGCCAGCUUGAGUGCAGGAGAGGGAAGUGGAAUUCCUAGUGCAGCGGUGAAAUGCGUAGAGAUUAGGAGGAACACCAGUGGCGAAGGCGACUUCCUGGACUGUAACUGACGCUGAGGCACGAAAGCGUGGGGAGCAAACAGGAUUAGAUACCCUGGUAGUCCACGCCGUAAACGAUGGAUACUAGGUGUAGGGGGUUAUUGACACCUUCUGUGCCGGAGUUAACGCAAUAAGUAUCCCGCCUGGGGAGUACGGCCGCAAGGUUGAAACUCAAAGAAAUUGGCGG